UGCUUAAUACAUGCAAGCCGAGCGGGUAGCAAUACCAGCGGCGCACGGGUGAGUAACACGUAAAUAACCUGCCUUCAAGUUUGGGACAACAAUUCCAACGAACUGCUAAUACCGGAUGUGGCGAAUUUUCGGCAUCGGGAAUUCGUUAAAGUAGCAAUACGCUUGAAGAUGGAUUUGCGGACUAUUAGUUAGUUGGGGAGGUAAUGGCUCACCAAGACGAUGAUAGUUAGCCGGUCUGAGAGGAUGAACGGCCACAAUGGGACUGAGACACGGCCCAUACUCUUACGGGAGGCAGCAGUAAGGAAUAUUGCGCAAUGGAUGGAAGUCUGACGCAGCAACUCCGCGUGAUGGACGAAGGUCUUCGGAUUGUAAACAUCUUUUAUCUGUGAAGAAAAGUUAAACAUUGACGGUAGCAGAUGAAUAAGCUCCGGCUAAAUAUGUGCCAGCAGCCGCGGUAAUACAUAUGGAGCGAGCGUUACUCGGAAUCACUGGGCGUAAAGGGUGCGUAGGCGGUCGAAUAAGUCGCAGUUUUAACUUUGGGGCUCAACCUCAAUUGUGAUUGCGAUACUGCUUGACUUGAAUACUUGAGAGGUAAAUGGAAUUUCCGGUGUAGCGGUGGAAUGCGCAGAUAUCGGAAAGAACACCGAUGGCGAAGGCAGUUUACCGGCAAGAUAUUGACGCUGAGGCACGAAAGCGUGGGGAGCAAACAGGAUUAGAUACCCUGGUAGUCCACGCCGUAAACGAUGGACAUUAGUCGUUGGUUUGCAAAAAUCGGCGGCGCAGACAACUUGUUAAAUGUCCCGCCUGGGUAGUACGACCGCAAGGUUGAAACCCAAAGGAAUUGACGGGGACCCGCACAAGCGGUGGAGCAUGUGCUUUAAUUCGAUGCAACGCGAAGAACCUUACCCGGUCUUGACAUAGUUCUGAUAUCCGUAGAGAUACGGCUUUCAGCAAUGACAGAACAUACAGAUGCUGCAUGGUUGUCGUCAGCUCGUGUCGUGAGAUGUUGGGUUAAGUCCCGCAACGAGCGCAACCCUUGCCGAUAGUUGCCAUCAUUAAGUUGGGCACUCUAUCGGGACUGCUUUCGCAAGGAAGAGGAAGGUGGGGAUGACGUCAAAUCAUCAUGGCUCUUACGACCGGGGCUA
rnacentral:rRNA from 1 species